AUGAUAAGUAUUAAAUGGCUGCAGUAUUUUAACUGUACAAAGGUAGCAUAAUAAAUAGUUUCUUAAUUGGGGGCUUGUAUGAAAGGGUUUAUGAAUUAUAAUUUUUAUUUUAUUUAUUUUUAGAAUUUUAUUUCUAAGUAAAAAAGCUUAGUUUUUUUUUUG
rnacentral:rRNA from 1 species